rnacentral:rRNA from 1 species
AUUGAACGCUGGCGGCAUGCUUUACACAUGCAAGUCGAACGGUAACAGGCCUUCGGGUGCUGACGAGUGGCGAACGGGUGAGUAAUGCAUCGGAACGUACCCAGAGGUGGGGGAUAACGCAGCGAAAGCUGUGCUAAUACCGCAUGUGAUCUGAGGAUGAAAGCGGGGGACCGAGCAGCAAUGUUUGGCCUCGCGCCUUUGGAGCGGCCGAUGUCGGAUUAGCUAGUUGGUGGGGUAAAGGCCUACCAAGGCGACGAUCCGUAGCUGGUCUGAGAGGACGACCAGCCACACUGGGACUGAGACAGGGCCCAGACUCCUACGGGAGGCAGCAGUGGGGAAUUUUGGACAAUGGGCGCAAGCCUGAUCCAGCAAUGCCGCGUGCGGGAAGAAGGCCUUCGGGUUGUAAACCGCUUUUGGCAGGAACGAAACGGUGUCCGCUAAUACCGGGCGCUAAUGACGGUACCUGCAGAAUAAGCACCGGCUAACUACGUG